GCAUCCGGAGACGCUGCGCACAGAGGGCCUUCAAAGAUUCAGCGUUGACAGGGGUUGUUCUGAAUGUAACAGGAUCCCGUGGCAGAUGUAAACCAGACUGCAAGCAUUUGCCUUGCGUUUUGCAGAGGAGGUCAGCGCGGGGGUUUGCCUGUGAAAACGUGGAUGUGGGGCUGCCAGCAUCAGCAGGCAAAGCUGGGUGCUUCUCUUGGUGGUACUUUGCAAACCAAGCGUGGGCAGCGCAGCCCUCUUCUGCCAUCCUUUGGACCUCCCAUGGCCUCUGCAUCGCGCUGACACCUCGCUGAGGCUGACAGGAGCUGCGUUUUGGCCCAGGAGCUCCACACGAGGAGGCUGGGCCUGCAGAGUGGAGCACUCCGGGUCUCACUUGCAGGUGGGCAGUGGGGGCUCCCAGUGAGGGCUGUCUGCAUGUUGCAGGUCCAGGUUCUUUAGAAGCCCUGGGUGUUGCUACGUGCUUCGCAGGGAGCCUUUGAAGUCAGCCUGAGCUCCAAGCCAUCCCCUAAUUGCUUCUCCUUUAUCAGACAGAUUUUCAAUGAACUUCACAGAAGGCGUUUGAGGCCAGAGCGGCCCCAUCGGCUGCCAAGUGACCGGUGCUGGGUGAGCCCUGUUUUUUAAAUGUAAAGAUGUUUCUUUAUGUUUGGGUAGGGACGUGCUGCGGUCACCGGGACCUGAGGAAGCGGCAGGCAGCCUCCGUGCAUUGGGAUAGCACAGCUCAGGUUUCCUUUCAGGCCUUGGCUAUGUUACCUUGGAGGAAUGUUCUCAUGGUGUGAGAUCUCUGUUGGAUGUGGACAUGGCAGCGCAUCUUCAGAUCCAUCUGCCCACCAAGAAGAGAUGUCCUCCCUCAAACUGGAGAUUGCCAUAGCCAAAAAACCCUCAAGGAAUCUGCAGAUCUUCUCUCAUCCCAUCUUCCCCGUGGAUGGGGAAACAACUGUGUAAGAAGAGAAGGAACCUGUCCUCAAGACAUGGUCAGAUCUGUCACCACCCGGUUGCCAAAUCAUUGCGAGAGAGUGAUGGAUGGAGCUGGAAAACCUGGUCAGUUCAGAGAUGGACUGAUGAGAGAUGGAACGGGAUCACAUCUUGGUGAACACACAGAUGCAGAAACAGCUUCGCAGGAGAAUUUCAAUCUAACAUCAACAGGAGAUUUGGAAGAUGAAUUGUGCAAGGAUCUCCUUCCUCCAACGAUGCUGCUUUGUUUUGCUUUUUGGCAUUUGGUUUGGCUCUAAUAUUGUCUGUUUUAUGAUGUUUUAAUUAUUGUUGUUUAUUUAUUAUAAUCAUAUUUUAAUUGUUUGUGUAGUGCCUUGAGUGCCUAGGCAGGGGGGCACAUUAUAAAUUAAAUUAUUAUUAAAAAGUUGUUAUUAUGUGUACCUACUCCAAACUGAGCUAGAGCAGGGAAUGCACUCAACUGCCUGGAAUUAAUUUCCCCCUUUUAUUUUCCCUUGUCUUUUCUCUACUCAGGAGUGUAGUUCAAAGGAUUGGAGGGAGAAAAUGAUGUUUCACUGCCUCCCCCUGGGGCUGAGCGAGGCAAGGGGAGCUCUGCUCUUGGCUCCCUUGGGUGCUGAGGUUGAAGUUAGGGAAAUGGUGUGCUCCAUGGACUUAAUGAGUUACUUCCUACAGCUUUUCUGCCUCCCUCCCUCCGUGAUCCUGAAUGGCAGGCUGCUGGAAGAAGCUGGUUGAUGUUUGCUGCAUUACAACAGCAUCUGCUAAUUCUUAAAUUAAAAGGGGGUUAUUAAGUGUGCUGACGGUGGGCUUAAAGGGGAGGAGGGGGCUGCAGGAUGAGGCCAGGUGAGGAUGGCAGGGACGGUGCUCCUGUCCAAGCCCCUCUUCUUGCACCAUCACCUUUCUGGUCUGAUGCAGAAGUCACUGCUCCCACCACCAACGUCCCCACCAGCCUGGAGAAAUCCCAGCUGGGUGUCCACAGCUCUGAGAGUCACUGCCAAGGAUUCAGCCACUCGGUCCUGUUGCUGCUGCACCAGAUUUCCUCACACCCCUCUGCGCCCACACAAUGUGGUUAUUGCUGUUGCAGUAUGAAUACAGAGAACCUUCCCCUCAGACAACCAAUUUUGGCAGGACUGGGACACAGCGCAGAGAUCCCCAAGCUCUCAGAUCAACUGCUCCAUCAUGGCCUGCAUGGAAAAGAAGGAUUUCCCCUCCCUCAGACCUUCUCACCCCUGUCCUGGAGGCUCAGACGCUGGAUCAAGCCUACAGCGAUUAACAUUCAACACCUGUGCUUCAAUCAAGCUACUUUUCUCUAGUAAUAUCAUUUAUGCUGAAACUUCAUCUCCUUCAGUCACUGAUCUUCAGGCUUAUCUGCCUUAGCCUGGUGUAAAUCCAGGGUAACCCUGUUCUUAUUGGAGUUAUUCCUGAUCAGCACUGGUUUAAAUGAAAUCCGAAUGUGACCCACAGAUGACAUCAUUUCGGGGCCUUGCAGAGAUCAGAGCCAUAAGACAGACUCGUGGUGGCGACUGCCUCAUCCACGCCACAAACAAGCAAAGCAAGGUGGUAGAGUUGCUGUCGUGUCUUGGUUAAUUGACAUGGAAAAAUCUUGAAUGUUCCACGAUUACACGAAGUGUUUUCACUGAGGUAGGAACCACACGCCUCCAUGCUGGCCUAUCUGUGGGGUUUCUUCUCUACAAGUCCAUGAAAUUCCCAGGCUUGGCAUGCAUUGCGCUGGGAGAUUGAC
ensembl:lncRNA